UCGCGGCUUAUCACCGGCAGUCUCCCUAGAGUGCCCAACUAAAUGAUGGCAACUAAGGGCGAGGGUUGCGCUCGUUGCGGGACUUAACCCAACAUCUCACGACACGAGCUGACGACAGCCAUGCAGCACCUGUGUUCCGAUUCCCUUUCGGGCACACCCAAAUCUCUUCAGGCUUUCGGACAUGUCAAGGGUAGGUAAGGUUUUUCGCGUUGCAUCGAAUUAAUCCACAUAAUCCACCGCUUGUGCGGGUCCCCGUCAAUUCCUUUGAGUUUUAACCUUGCGGCCGUACUCCCCAGGCGGUCAACUUCACGCGUUAGCUUCGUUACCAAGGGAAUCAAUCCCCCGACAACCAGUUGACAUAGUUUAGGGCGUGGACUAC
rnacentral:misc_RNA from 1 species